rnacentral:rRNA from 1 species
UACGGAGGGUGCAAGCGUUAUCCGGAUUCACUGGGUUUAAAGAGUGCGUAGGUGGGCAGGUAAGUCAGUGGUGAAAUCUCCGAGCUUAACUCGGAAACUGCCGUUGAUACUAUUUGUCUUGAAUAUUGUGGAGGUAAGCGGAAUAUGUCAUGUAGCGGUGAAAUGCUUAGAUAUGACAUAGAACACCAAUUGCGAAGGCAGCUUACUACACAACGAUUGACGCUGAGGCACGAAAGCGUGGGGAUCAAACAGG